rnacentral:rRNA from 1 species
GAUGAACGCUGGCGGCGUGCUUAACACAUGCAAGUCGAACGGAAAGGCUCCUGCUUGCAGGGGUACUCGAGUGGCGAACGGGUGAGUAACACGUGGGUGAUCUGCCCUGCACUUCGGGAUAAGCCUGGGAAACUGGGUCUAAUACCGGAUAGGACCACAUUUUGGAUGGUGUGGUGGAAAGUUUUUCGGUGUGGGAUGAGCUCGCGGCCUAUCAGCUUGUUGGUGGGGUAAUGGCCUACCAAGGCGUCGACGGGUAGCCGGCCUGAGAGGUUGUACGGCCACAUUGGGACUGAGAUACGGCCCAGACUCCUACGGGAGGCAGCAGUGGGGAAUAUUGCACAAUGGGCGCAAGCCUGAUGCAGCGACGCCGCGUGGGGGAUGACGGCCUUCGGGUUGUAAACUCCUUUCGCUAGGGACGAAGCGUUUUUGUGACGGUACCUGGAGAAGAAGCACCGGCUAACUACGUG